AGCAGCCGCGGCAAUUCCAGCUCCAAUAGCGUAUAUUAAAGUUGUUGCAGUUAAAAAGCUCGUAGUUGAAUUUCGGGAUCAGUACGCCGGUCGUGCCUUCGGUAUGCACUGGUGUCACUGGUUUCUCCCUUCUGAAGAACCAUCAUGCCAUUAAGUUGGUGUGGCGGGAAAUCAGGACUGUUACUUUGAAAAAUUAGAGUGUUUAAAGCAGGCUCGCGCUUGAAUACAUUAGCAUGGAAUAAUGAAAUAGGACGUUUGACCCUAUUUUGUUGGUUCUAGGAUCGACGUAAUGAUUAAUAGGGAUAGUUGGGGGCAUUAGUAUUCAAUUGUCAGAGGUGAAAUUCUUGGUAUUUAUUGAAGACUAACUACUGCGAAG
rnacentral:rRNA from 1 species